rnacentral:rRNA from 1 species
GGAAUCUUCGGCAAUGGACGAAAGUCUGACCGAGCAACGCCGCGUGAGUGAAGAAGGUUUUCGGAUCGUAAAACUCUGUUGGUAGAGAAGAACGUUGGUGAGAGUGGAAAGCUCAUCAAGUGACGGUAACUACCCAGAAAGGGACGGCUAAAUACGUGCCAG